rnacentral:rRNA from 1 species
AAAAGCACUUUUAGCGUGAUUAGUCAAAGGUAGCGAGGUAAUUUGUUUUUUUAUUGAAUUCUAGUAUGAAUGGAGAUUUUGUUAUCAAAUAUAUUUAAUUGAGAAAGAAUUUUGGAUUUAUUUAAAAAAUAAUAAAUUUAAUAAAACUAAGAAAAGUCUUUAGAAAUUAAUUAUUUGAAUUUGCUUGGGGAAAUAAAAUAACUAAUAUUUUUUUCUUUUAUAAUAAAAAAAUUUCUCUAGAGUUAACAGGAAUAAAUAUUAAUUUAUUAUUUUUACAUCGAUGUUGUUUUAUUUAAUAUUAAAAAUGAGAAAAUUUUAAGUUAGAGACUGUUCUUCUUUUUUUAAUACGUGAGAUUAGUUUAAUUCGUUGUGAAA